AUAUUGCUGAGAUGUUGGUUAGUAAUUAUAUCUAAGUUAGUGUGAACAGAUAAAAUGUGUGCAUACUAAUGUGUUGAGUGUUUCAUUUGGAUUUGAAUUUGUGAGCUUUAAAUGAUCAGUUCUCUUACUUAGUAGAUGGUAUUUAUUUAGCUGAAAAUUGCUUUUUAUGCUAAUUUUUUAAAAAGCAUUGAAACCUUUCCUUAUUCUUGUUUGUAUGUACGUGUUUCCAGAAGUCGGACUAUGCCAAUAUUGAGAGUGCUGCACGGAACUUGCUGUCUCUCUUAUCAGCAAGUGUCAGUCAAGGGCAGGUUGAGGUUCCAGGCCAGAGCCAAGUUCAGGUUCAGAUUCAGGGUCAGCGUCCCAGCCAGGGAACUUUUCAGGAAUCAGGAGUCAGGAGGCAGGCCAAUGUGCAGCAGGAGAUGUCAAAGUCUUUUCCUGCUCUUUUUCGAAGAGAACGAACAAGUGGAAAACGCAGGUUUCCAACACCACUUAAAAUGGUUUCAGCACCAUUUACAAAGGCCACAAAUAUUCAGUUUUAUUUACUCCCAAAACCCAUGACCAGAACUCCACAGGGGUCUCAGGAGCUCAGCCUGUUAAUGGCAGGCUUGGGAAAACGCAUGAUAUCAGUGUCUGAACACUGCAACCAUGAAGAGAUUUCAGCAAUGCUGCUGCUUGAAUUCCCUAAACUGGAGACUUUGUCUGGUG